GUCAUUGUUGAUGAGGCUCACCGGCUUAAAAAUGAGAAAUCAAAAUUGUAUGGAGCAUGUUUAGAAAUUAACACUAGGAAACGAAUUGGUUUAACAGGAACUAUUAUGCAGAAUAAAAUUAUGGAACUUUUUAAUCUCUUUGACUGGGUUGCACCUGGAUCAUUGGGAACAAAAGAACAUUUUAGGGAGUUUUAUGAUGAACCUCUUAAGCAUGGCCAGAGGGCAACUGCACCUGAAAGAUUUGUCCGGGUUGCCGAUGAGCGUAAAGAGCACCUGGUGGCAGUUCUUCAGAAAUAUAUGCUUAGGAGGACAAAGGAGGAGACUAUUGGGCAUCUUUUGUUGGGAAAGGAAGAUAAUGUUGUAUUCUGUGCCAUGAGUGAAUUACAAAAACGGGUUUAUACGAGAAUGUUACAAACGCCAGAGGUCCAGUGUCUUAUAAAUAAGGACCUUCCAUGUAGCUGUGGUAGCCCCCUUAAACAAGUGGAAUGCUGCAAAAGGAUCAUACCAGAUGGAAUUAUAUGGCCUUACCUUCACAGGGAUAACCCUGAAGGUUGUGAUUCUUGCCCCUUUUGCCUUGUACUUCCUUGCCUUAUCAAGCUCCAACAGAUAAGCAAUCACCUAGAGCUGAUUAAGCCUAACCCUAGGGAUGAACCAGACAAACAAAGGAAAGAUGCAGAGUUUGCCUCUGCUGUCUUUGGUACUGACAUUGAUUUGGUGGGAGGGAAUGCCCAGACUGAGAGUUUCAUGGGCCUGAGUGAUGUUAAACAUUGUGGAAAAAUGCGAGCAUUGGAAAAGUUAAUGUCCUCCUGGGCUUCUCGAGGUGACAAACUUCUUCUCUUCAGCUACUCAGUGAGGAUGCUAGACAUAUUGGAAAAGUUUCUCAUACGUAAAGGGUAUAGCUUUUCGAGACUUGAUGGUUCUACUCCAACUAACUUGCGCCAGUCUAUGGUUGAUGACUUCAAUUCGAGCCCAAGCAAACAGGUGUUCCUCAUCUCAACUCGAGCUGGUGGGCUUGGGUUGAAUCUUGUAAGUGCAAAUCGUGUGGUUAUAUUUGAUCCAAACUGGAAUCCUGCCUAUGAUUUGCAAGCCCAGGACAGGUCAUUUCGUUUUGGGCAGAAGCGGCAUGUUGUAGUUUUCCGCCUUCUUGCAGCUGGGUCAUUUGAGGAACUUGUUUAUACCCGUCAAGUGUACAAACAGCAGCUGUCAAACAUUGCUGUCUCAGGGAAAAUUGAAAAACGUUAUUUUGAAGGUGUCCAGGAUUGUAAGCAAUUUCAGGGUGAGCUUUUUGGAGUCUGCAAUCUGUUCCGUGAUCUAUCUGAUAAGCUUUUUACCAGUGAAAUCAUUGAAUUGCAUGAGAAACAGGG
rnacentral:misc_RNA from 1 species